UACGAAGGGGGGCUAGCGUUGCUCGGAAUUACUGGGUGUAAAGCGCACGUAGGCGGCUUUCUAAGUCGGGGGUGAAAUCCUGGAGCUCAACUCCAGAACUGCCUUCGAUACUGGAAAGCUCGAGUCCGGGAGAGGUGAGUGGAACUGCGAGUGUAGAGGUGAAAUUCGUAGAUAUUCGCAAGAACACCAGUGGCGAAGGCGGCUCACUGGCCCGGUACUGACGCUGAGGUGCGAAAGCGUGGGGAGCAAACAGG
rnacentral:rRNA from 1 species